rnacentral:rRNA from 1 species
AUUGAACGCUGGCGGCAGGCCUAACACAUGCAAGUCGAACGAUUGGAGCACGGGAGUGAAAUGUCUGGGACACUGCCCGAUGGAGGGGGAUAACUACUGGAAACGGUAGCAAAUACCGCAUACCAUCGGAUGUGCCCAGAUGGGAUUAGCUAGUAGUUGGGGUAAAGGCUCACCUAGGCGACGACCCCUAGCUGGUCUGAGAGGAUGACCAGCAAAACUGGAACGGAGACACGGUCCAGACUCCUACGGGAGGCAGCAGUGGGGAAUAUUGGACAAUGGGCGCAAGCCUGAUGCAGCAAUGCCGCGUGUAUGAAGAAGGCCUUCGGGUUGUAAAGUACUUUCAGCGGGGAGGCGUUACCCAAAGAGGAAGCACCGGCUAACUCCGUGCCAGCAGCCGCGGUAAUAC